GAUGAACGCUGGCGGCGUGCCUAAUACAUGCAAGUCGAGCGAACAGACGAGGAGCUUGCUCCUCUGACGUUAGCGGCGGACGGGGGAGUAACACGUGGAUAACCUACCUAUAAGACUGGGAUAACUUCGGGAAACCGGAGCUAAUACCGGAUAAUAUAUUGAACCGCAUGGUUCAAUAGUGAAAGACGGUUUUGCUGUCACUUAUAUAUGGAUCCGCGCCGCAUUAGCUAGUUGGUAAGGUAACGGCUUACCAAGGCAACGAUGCGUAGCCGACCUGAGAGGGUGAUCGGCCACACUGGAACUGAGACACGGUCCAGACUCCUACGGGAGGCAGCAGUAGGGAAUCUUCCGCAAUGGGCGAAAGCCUGACGGAGCAACGCCGCGUGAGUGAUGAAGGUCUUCGGAUCGUAAAACUCUGUUAUUAGGGAAGAACAAAUGUGUAAGUAACUAUGCACGUCUUGACGGUACCUAAUCAGAAAGCCACGGCUAACUACGUG
rnacentral:rRNA from 1 species